CGGGGCGUAGCGCAGCUUGGUAGCGUACCUGCCUGGGGGGCAGGUGGUCGCGGGUUCAAAUCCCGCCGCCCCGACCA
rnacentral:tRNA from 1 species